CGGUAGAUGACCGGGUUGACAGGCCGGAUGUGGAAGCGCAGUAAUGUGUGGAGCUGACCGGUGCUGAUAGGCCGAGGACUUGCUCA
rnacentral:rRNA from 1 species